AUGCUCCCUGCACCAGCACCUAGACUAAAACCAGAACAACACAGAGAAGAUGAACAUGGCCCCUGCACAUGCGAAUGAGGACUCUCAAAUCCAUGAAGUAUUCCAUAAUUAA